rnacentral:rRNA from 1 species
AUGCAGGGAUGUCUCAAAUGGUGCAGGGUGUUCACUUGGCUUUGGCGCAGGCCAAGCUUCAAGCACGUUAACAGAGUUGCUUGCAGGAUUUCUCACGUUCAUGAUCAUGCAUUCAAGCUGCAAGGAAAUAAAUGUAUGUGUAAGGAAGGUGGUGCAGAUGUGGUGGAGUAUAUCUUCUGGGAUGGGCAUGAACCGGCCAAAGUUCAGUCACUCACGAAUGGCCAGACCCCAAUUUUUCCGGAGAAUGUCAUGCUUCCAUCUUCAUCGUACCGUGGUCUUGCUACCGCUCUGAGAAACAUCACUUUUCCAAUAGAGUUUUUAAUAGGUCUUUCCGGGUCCUCUUCGUCAGGCAGCAGAUAG